CUGUUGGAGUGCUGGUAGCUGGAGUGUCUCGAUCGUCCGCCUUGCUUACAGCCGGCCGGAGCGAGGUGACAUAAAGUUACAGGCUCAAGUAUGUUGAGAAGUUAUUUCACUUGAGGUACCUGGGAUUAGGUGACACACGCAUUGCUCAGCUCCCUGAAGAAACAGGGAACAUACGAUUUCUACAAACACUGGACCUGAUGGGCACCUGCAUCUGUAGCUUGCCAUCAACCGUUGUUCAGCUCAGACAUUUGAUGUGUCUCUACAUCGAGUCAUAUACAAGAUUGCCAAAUGGUAUUGGGAGCCUAACAAGCCUGGUACGCUGCUUCGUGAGGGAGGCGAGAGUAAUCCCCAGCAGCGAUGGUGGCUUUGGCAUGGGCCUGGGGAACCUGCCAUCGCUCCAGGAUGUCUGGGUUUACUUGAAAUGUGAAGGCGCUAGCAAUGAGGAAGUGAAGGAUUUGAAGGUUGCGUUGAGGAACUCGGUUGAAAUCAAUCCCAAUCAUCCAAAACUCCACAUAUACUGAUGAAUCGAACUUGACAUGCGGAUGAAUAUGAAGUUGAUGGACUGAAAAUGAAAGACAGGAGAAACUGCUGAAAAUGGACAGGGCCCAGAGGAAAAUAUUUGUAAGCAUGCAUAUCCCCAAGCCUCCCGGCGACGGGCCUCUGCUUCGCUCCGUCGGAAGUCGAUCUUUUCCUUUUGUGCAAUGAAUUUGGAUCACAAUAUAACAAAACUGAUAUGUUUUCUUUUUUGGGUACAAACUGACCUGUAAAGCAAGAAUCCUGGACAUAAGGAUGAUUAUACCUGCAUAAUUUAGAAUAAAAAAAUCUACUUGAUUGAACACGUACAUUAGACCAAGAACCAGAUGCAAGAAAUUCCAGCUUUUCUGAUUGUAUAUCGAGAAAAGGUUGUAUUUGUAAUUUUAGAUUGUAAUACUUGAGAAAUAAUUAAUAUAGCUUACAGUACUACUUUAACUUCUUUU